rnacentral:lncRNA from 1 species
CCGCCUUCCCUGAGCCCCACCCACUCCGGGCACUCACUCCCACCUUUAAUCAGCCACGUGUGACGCCAUGACGCGUGCGUGGCCGCGGCGCAGGGGGCGGGCCCGCGGCGCGCCACCGGAGGAGGAAGUGGUGCGGUUGUUGCUCCCUCUGCACCCACUGCUGGCUCGCGGGGCGCGGAGAGGGGCAACUACCACCGCCGCCGCUCUGGCUCCCUCCUUACUACUGUUUCCCUCCAUGUGCUCCGGCGCCGUCUCUCCCCUUCCUCAGGCCGCCGCUUACCCCGGGGUCUAUGGAAGUAAUGGAAGGACCCCUCAACCUGCAUAUCUUUCCGAAGCCAUGAAGCUCACACAGUCUGAGCAGGUGAGACAAUUUCUUAAUAUUUGCAUAAAAGUUAGAAGGAUUUUCUUGUGGAGACUUGAAUUGUGUGUAAAAUAAAGUAUUCUGCCCUUUUCAAAACACUGUAGUCAGAGAUACAUAAAAUGGAAAAGAGAGGAGUACUUCAGAAAUGAAAACUCAGUGAACUGCUGUCGAUGUUCCAAACAUGGCAUGCAGAAAAUUUCUGUUUUUCAGAUCACCAGAUGUUUUCCUUAGAGACUUCUAGGGCCUUUCCUGGUCAUUAACUCAUUUGAGCAUUAGCUCACAGAAAGUAAGCAGGCCCGGCCAAGGGGACGCCAGUUGGACUUCCCUUUGCUUGCCAAAAAUAAUUUAUACCUGAAUUUGUCUUUUCCUGAAUUCCUAAACAGUUCUGGUACCUUUAAAUUUAUUUCACCAGUGGCUUUAAAUUUUUUUGUGUGUUUGGAGAAGCCUUCGUAGGUUUCAAAAAAAAAAAAACACCUUCAUCCAAAGAUGAUUUUCUCAUUAUGAAAGUGGCAGGGUACAUAGGAGAUAUUCAGUGAAUGUUUAUCUAGUUGAAUUAAGGAGACCUUUUCAGUGAGGGGGUGUCAGUGGCAGGGGAAAAAUACCACUUUUUCAAACUAAACGAAGAGUCUGAAAGUUGUGUUUUAUUUCAUGUACUUCCUUUUGACUGUGUAGAACUGCUCAUGUUAGCCACAUAAUACAGACAUUCACUGAGCUGUUUGAGCCCCUUCAUAAG